ensembl:lincRNA
GGCGCGCUGCAGGGAUUUUCCACUCCUCUGGGCCCAGGCUGAGUGCGGGUCCCCUGCUCGCCAGCUCACCGCCCCGAGCUGCGCGGCGUGCGGCCCUUCCAGAUGGCGGUGGCGCAGAAGCUGCUGUCUCACGUGUGCUCCAUCGCGGACUCCAGCGCCCAGAACCUGGACCUGGGCUCCUUCCCCCUGUGGUCCCUGUGGGCGCGCUGCAGGGAUUUUCCACUCCUCUGGGCCCAGGCUGAGUGCGGGUCCCCUGCUCGCCAGCUCACCGCCCCGAGCUGCGCGGCGUGCGGCCCUUCCAGAUGGCGGUGGCGCAGAAGCUGCUGUCUCACGUGUGCUCCAUCGCGGACUCCAGCGCCCAGAACCUGGACCUGGGCUCCUUCGAGAAGGUGGACUUCCUGAUCUGCAUCCCGCCCUCGGAGGUCGCCUUCCAGCAGACCGUGGGCCGCGUGUGGCACUCAGGGGUGCUGCGGGAUCUGGGCCUGGAGCCAGAGCCAGGGAGCAGGCAGAGGGCGGAGCGGCACGUGCUGAAGCUGGACGCCGAGGCGCACGCCAGGUUCCAGGCGUUCCUGCACAGCUCCCUCCAGAACCCGCACACGCUCUUCCUGCUCAUCCACGACCAUGCGCACUGGGACCUCCAGAGUGGCGCCAUCCACAAUCUCUACUCCCAAAGCGACCCAUCUGUGGGGCUGGUGGACAGACUGCUCAACUGCAGGGGGGUGAAGGAGGCCCCCAACAUCGUGACGCUCCAUGUGACAUCCUUUCCAUACGCGCUGCAGACCCAGCACACCCUCGUCAGCCCCUACAAUGAAAUCCACUGGCCGGGGCCCGACAGUGACGGCACAGACCUAUACCCUGAAAACAAGAAGUACUUCGGGCUGGCCGAGUUCAUUGAGUCCACCGUCUCGGGACACAGCCUCCCCCUGCUCAGAUAUGACAGCUCCUUCGAGGCCAUGGUCACCGCGCUGGGAAAAAGAGGCAGAGCCUCCCUAUGCAGCCCAGGCUGGCCUCAAACUCACCAGGCUCCUCCUGCCUCAGCCUCCUGAGUGCUAGGGUCACAGGUGUGCACGCAGCUCACAGAAUUUUAAAGAUGAGCCUGGGCAGACUUCUACUGGAAUAUUUCUGGCACAUGGACUUGCGACCCCGCGGAGGGCAGGGGAUGAGAGCUCUAGAAAAGGAUCACGGCUGCGAGGCCUGUGAUCGCAGUGGCUUCAUUUUGAAUUUCCGGCGGGGAUAAUCGUCAGGUGCUCUGUUGGAGCUGUUCUUCCCGCUUCACCACCUCUCUGAGCCAGGGUCUGUGGUUCUCGUUUUGCAAAUGAAGAAAGUAAGGCUCAGAGAGUCGCUGUAACUUUCUCAGGCCAAAGGUUAGCAGGUGCUGAGCUGAGUGACAACCAACAGUUGGUCUAACUUCACAGCCAGCUCUGCUUCUCUCUCUCUCUCUCUCUCUCUCUCUGUCUGUCUCUCUCUCUCUCCCUCGUUUCUCUUUCUUUCUGCUUUCAAGAUAGGGUCUCACUUUGUAAUUCAGGUUAACUUUGAACUCACUGUGUAGCCCAGGCUGACCUCGAACUCACAGAGAUCCUCCUGCUUCAGCCUCCUCCUGCAUGCUGAGAUUACAGGUGUGCACCAACACACCUGUUGAUAUUUUUCUUAGUUUGUAUUAGGCCACGUUUGCAGCACAUAAUGAUUGUGUUUGCUGUGGGGAGCUGGCACAUGUACAUGACACAUUGUUAUUCUUUGUAUGUCCCCUUUCCCCCUCCAUGUGUUGGUCUCCUUUCCUUUUGCAAAAAGUCUGUCUCCCUGUUUCCUAUCAUCUUUCUUUUAUUUUGCUCUUUAUUUAUACUUUGGGCUUCUCAUAUGAGAGCUAAUGGAGAUUUUUUCACCAUUGAGCUAAGUCCCAAGCCCUUCUCAUAUGAGAGAAAUCAUGUAUUUAAGCUUGAGUGGGGCUGGAGAUUUAGCUCCGUGGUUCUGCUGCCUGCCUCCCAAGCACAAGGACCCGAGUUUGAUCCCCGUACCAAAAAAAAAAAAAAAAAAAAAAAAGCUUGAGUGCCUGAUUUAUUUCACUUAACAUUAUGGUCUCAAGGUGCAUCCAUUUUCCCACAAUGCUUCAAGUGUAUCCUUCUUUAUAGCAGUAUAGUACUCCACAAUGUGUUCUGUAUUUCCUUUAUCUGCCCAUGUGCUGAGGGACACAAGUUGUUUCCAGGAUUUAGCUGUUGUGAGUUGUGUGCUGGGAACUUGGUGUGCAUGAGAGACCUGGCUUUACAGAGGAGGAGGCUGGCGGCUGAGAGCUGACCACCCCGUGUCUUGCUCUUGCUGUCCUCGAAAGCUGACUGCUGCCUCUCACCGCCGGGGCUGAGCUUGCUGUCUCCCCAGCUGUGUGCUGCUUUGCUUACACACCCGCGUCUGUCGGGCCAAAGGGCUCCAGGGGUCAAGGGAGUUUGCAGAGCAGGACAGAAGGAUGGGUUUCUUCAGGCCCUUGGUGCCCAGGCGCGAGGCUCCACAAGGCCAGGGAGGCAGGCGCUUGGGACCGCCCUUCCCCAGAAUACCCCGCAGGAACAGGCACUCUUGGUCCUGUUGGGCCCUGUGAUGCUGAGGAUGGGAACCAGGCCCCUGCCUCUGCCCCACUUCCGCUGGAAUCCCCUGGGGCUCUGUGUGUUGUGGAUGCUGGCUUGGUACGAGCUUGGGCCUCAGGGGUCCUCAGUGCCACCCUGUGCACUCUGGACUCUGUGGAUGAAGACGUGAGGCCCAACCCUGGGCUCAGACCACACUGAGCCCCAAAGCCUCACUGAGCAGCACUCACGUCUGUGCUACAGGGAUUGAAACCAGGGCUUCUCACUCAGCUGCAUCCUUUCAUUUUGUUCUUGUUUUGAGACAGAGUCUCGCUGAGGUGUUAAAUUGCUUAGGAUGGACUCAAACUUGAGACCCUCCUGCCUCAGCCUCCCAGAGAGCUGGAAUGGCAGGCGUGUGCCACCGCUCCUGUCUUGUUCAAGGUUUUUACCAUGAGCAAAUGGUCUCGCCUGCCCAGACCUCGCACCCUCCUGUAGAUCGGGGCCUCUGGGUCUAGAGCUAAUAUGUCUACGCACACACGUUAAUGGGUGCACGCCGGGAGGCAGGGCUCUGAUACCGUUCUUCCUGGGUUCAAGUCCUGGGUCUGUCACUCAUCACCGUCAGUGCUCAGUGAGGGUUACAGUACCUCAUGGGGAUUAACGAGGGUUACAGGAACUCACGUCUGAAAAGCAUGGAAACAUGCGGGACACGUUAAGAAUCUCUGUGGCCUUCCACUGACCCCUGCAACCUUCCCUCUGGUUCUCCCUCUGCUAAAACAGAACAGGCUGAGCGCAGUACCGCACGCCAGUCAACCCAGCUCUCUGGGAGGCUGAGGCAGGAGGAUCCCAUGGUGGAGCCCAGCCCGGGUGACUUGGCAAGACCCAUCCUCGCCACGGCUGUGACUGGUGAGCUGCGUGUCCCGGCCCCGGCUCACGCUGCUGCCCGCCCGCAGG